AGAUGCAGUUGGCAACAUGAAACUGGUCAAUGGACAGUCUCACAUUGAGUGUUGUAUCCUUGACGAAGUGGAAAUAGCAACCACUCCAUGUGUUAUGAUUCAUCUGCAAUCACAAGAGGACCUGUUAUGAAGCUUUACUUUUGGGAAAAGACUGCAACAGACUUCUGCAAGAAAUUUACAGCCUAUAAAAACACUCCCACCUUGCUUUUAGUCACGACGGUGAACACGAAACAUCUUGGAGACGUCUCUGCUCCUGUUUGUGACGUUAACCUUGGAGAAUUUUGUUCUUUAUCUAUUUGAACUUCAUAUAGCUCGAACUGGGAUCUUUAGGUUGUCCUUUUGAUCUCUUCCUUGCAAAUCAUUUAACUUCGCAAAACAGAGUGCUCUUCAAGCAGCCUGUCACAGCUGUCGAGAUCUUGCAGAUGAGGGGAAUAACAGUACCUGUCACAGUGACGAACCAAAGAAAGCAAAGGUCCUAAACAUGGAAAUGAGAGCUCUCACCACUCAUCUCAGAGUGGUGACCCCUUCGUUUGCAGUUUCAGUCUUCUUUUUUCAGUUUGAGCAUUGGCUAAAGCUUUCGUUUUAGUUAACAUCUUUCAGUGUUUGAUUUUUCUUUUUUUCAGUGAGAUAAGCCUGAAACGCAGACAAGCUCUGAGUGCAGGAAGCACAAGGAGUAUUACUCUCAAGGGAGAGGUUACAUCUCAUCACAGCCGUACUCAACGUGGAGUUAGGGAUCAUGGCUUCGAACUGAGACCUCGUGGGGAUGUUCAUACAUCCCUGUGAGAUCCACAGCGUCUGGAAACCACAUCUUGAUCUGACAUCAAAGCGAGGGAGGAACCCGGAGAUGGAGGACUGUAAAGCGUCCCAGCAAGAAGCGGCGGAGGAGAGCGGCGGGGAGAAUGAACCUGUCUUGCGGAGGUGGUGAGAGUAGACGAGACGGAGGCCUUGGAGGAGGUACUGGAAAAUAAAAAAUAUUUGGUAAUUUCUUCAGUAUGAGCAUUGGCUAAAGGCUUUCGUUUUAGUUAACAUCUUUCAGUGUUUGAUUUUCCUUUUUUCCCCUGCAAUCAGUUUACAUAUUGAGUAAUUUUUUAUUAGGUGAUGAUUAUAAGCUUUUAAAACAAUCACUUGGUAUUUUCAAUUAUAAUUGUGGUUUCUCUGCUGAGUGUUUGCUAUUUAUGCAUCACUCUUUCUCUGUUAAUUUGAAAACU